ensembl:lncRNA
GCGACUACAGAAUACUGUGUACUGCUAAACUUAUAUACAAGAUUUCUCAAGAACAAGGUAUCUGUAAAACUUUAAACCUCAGUGAUGAUGAUUGAGCUACUGGAAGAAAACUAUAAGUAUUGUUCAAAAUCUGUGCUGAAACUGAUUCUGUUAUAGAGCUGGAUACUUCUCUCCUGGUCCUCUACCAGCUCUAUUCAGCACAGAAAGUUGGUCUGUAACUGCUGCCCCAGCAUCACCUCUAGCAGGUGAAAAAAUUCCUGCCAGAGCUGCUUCAGCAGUGGCUGAAACAGCCUUCCCUGGGUAUCUCUGAAAGGUUUCUUCUAGGCCUGCUGAAAAAUGGAUCUCAAUAAAGUGGAAAAAGAAGAAUGGAGAAGAGAAAUUCUUUUGGCUGGUUUUCACAAGAAUGGAAGUUUGGCAAACAAGGCCCAAGGCACUGUAAGGAAAAGAGAUGUGAGGCUUCUGCAGGGCUUGUGGAAAUACCGCGAAAUCAGGAAAUUCCACCCCCCUGGUUUCCAAAACGACCACUACAUUUACUCCCGCGUUUCACCCCUGCCUUUACAAUCGGCAAGGAAGAAGGAUGCUGUGCCA